rnacentral:rRNA from 1 species
CCUACGGGAGGCAGCAGUGAGGAAUAUUGGUCAAUGGGAGAGAUCCUGAACCAGCCAAGCCGCGUGAGGGAAGACGGCCCUAUGGGUUGUAAACCUCUUUUGUCGGAGAACAAAACCCGGGACGUGUCACGUACUGCGUGUAUCCGAAGAAAAAGCAUCGGCUAACUCCGUCCCAGCAGCCGCGGUAAUACGGGGGAUGCGAGCGUUAUCCGGAUGUAUUGGGUUUAAAGGGUGUGUAGGCGGUCCGUUAAGUCAGCGGUAAAAUUGCGGGGCUCAACCCCGUCGAGCCGUUGAAACUGGCAGACUUGAGUUGGCGAGAAGUACGCGGAAUGCGCGGUGUAGCGGUGAAAUGCAUAGAUAUCGCGCAGAACUCCGAUUGCGAAGGCAGCGUACCGGCGCCAGACUGACGCUGAGGCACGAAAGCGUGGGGAUCGAACAGGAUUAGAUACCCCAGUAGUC